GACGAACGCUGGCGGCGUGCUUAACACAUGCAAGUCGAACGAAGUGGCGAACGGGUGUGUAACGCGUAAUCAACCUGCCCUUCAGAGGGUGACAACAGUUGGAAACGACUGCUAAUACCUCAUCCUGAAGGAGGGAAUUGCGUCUGAUUAGUGAGUUGGCGGGGUAACGGCCCACCAAGGCGAUGAUCCGUAGCCGGUUUGAGAGGAUGAACGGACAACAUGGGGCCGAGAAACGGCCCAGAAUCCUAAGGGAAGCAGGAGUGGGGAAUCAUCCGCAAUGGAGGAAAGGCUUACGGAGCACAGCCGCGGGAGAGAUGAAGGCCCUCGGGGUGUAAAGGUAUGUUAAUCGGGAAGCGGUACCGGAAUAGAAAGCAACGGCUAACUACGUGCCAGCAGCCGCGGUAAUUC
rnacentral:rRNA from 1 species